CUGGGCUGUGGUCUCUCUGCCUUGCGGGGAGCCGAGCACACAGUAGGUGCUCAGCAAAGGUUUGCCAAAUGACCCAACUUAGUUCAGUAUCUUAUUUUUCAGUGGGGGUGGUGGAGGUGCUGGAAGGAUUAUUGAACCCCCAAAAUGUCCCUCGGGCAGCUCUGGCAGACCAGGGGCCUCUUGUCGUGGAUAACCUGACCUUGUCUGCGCCUCUGGGAGAAGGAGCGUAUAGGCAGGAAAGGUGGGUUUGUAAGGGGUGCAGGAAAGAGGGGGUGGCUUCAGGCCUUCUAGGUUGGCUUCUGCGGGCCAUGGCUCUCUGGAAGCUUUUUGGCCCAAUCUUGAUUCUAAUUUUUCUGCUCGUCCCAAACCAAAGGAGGGAAAACCGCCUGAGGCCACGACCUUGGUCCCCCGUGGGCCCCCUUGAGCCUGUCCCCACAGAGCCGAGGAGGAGCUGGGAGCGACUGAGGAAGGAGGCAGGGCGACCUGGGGGGGCUGUGGUCUGAGACGCAGCGGAGCCCAGGGCCGAGGGGGGCCAGCCCCACGGCAGCUGCGAGGCUCUGCCACGGGUAAGAGAGCAAUCGAGAAAAAUAAGCUUAAUUUGGGGAAGCAGAUGAGGUGACCUCGAGACUCACUCACUGAGGGCUCGGCCACUGAACCUGAGAAGAUUCUGCCCCUUUCCUGGGGGCGUCUCCGCCGGAGCAGAGCCUGCCCGGUGGCGUCAGGCCCCAGGACGUGGUCCCUCCGUCUCCAUGGCCAUCUUCGGAGAGCUCCUCUGGCUGCCCCAGCGUGAUGCUCCACGGGCCCGGAACCAAGCCCAUCAGAACCUCCAGGCCUCGAUGCCCGCUUCCAGUCCUGGGCAAGUGGGCAAGCUUUGUGCUUCCAGGAAUUUGCUGCUUUGCUCCUUUCCUUGGAGUUUGUCUUCUGGCCAGCCACUGAGGGUCGGGGCCAGGAGAAGGGCAGGUCCUUGUCCUCCUUCCCUUUUCUCUCCACGUCCACCUGGAACCAGGUGGAACGGCCACCUCGUGUCAGCCAAUCUACCACGUGCAUCCGUGACGGAAACCAGAAAUGUGCUUUGUCGUCACAGGAGGGGGCCCCAGGACCACGAGGCCCGAAGAGUGGAGACAGCUCUGGGUUUAACAGGUGGACCCUACAGGUUCCCCGGCGUGGGGCUGAGGGCUGGAGUGGAGAUUCAGGACAGACCCCACCCUGGCCUUCCUGAUGGUGCCGCAAGUUUUACUGGGUAGGGGAAGGGCUGGACAGUGACUUGGGGGCAGCUGGUGAGUCUGGAUUGUUGGGUGCCGGGUACUGGAGAAGGGGGAGGGCCCCCGUCUGAACUGCCCCUGUCCUGCUCUGCCUGGGGGACACGGGGCAGGGUCUGACCCCAGGGGUGGUGACAGCCACCCGGUGGGGGAGGGGCUCCCACCCAAAGGGCAGGUCGAUUCAUGGGUAUGGGGGUGGCAACUGGCUGAAGCCACCCAAAGGAACCGCAAGAGAGAGGUGAGGGCUCUUUCUGGUCCUCUCUGGAUCAACACAGGCUUUCAGAGAGGACCAAGGACACCAAGCCUGUUCCCGGCGCCCUCCCCGGGGGCUCCGUCGCAGGACCGAGGCCUUGACACGGGAAGGGAGGCCUCUUUCUGGAAACUAAGGCUGGCUUUCAAGGACUCGGCCCAGGGGAGGGGCAGUGGGGCCUGGACGGGGCUCACCAGCUGACACUGACC
rnacentral:lncRNA from 1 species